rnacentral:rRNA from 1 species
UAAGCAUAUCAAUAAGCGGAGGAAAAGAAACCAACAGGGAUUGCCUUAGUAACGGCGAGUGAAGCGGCAAAAGCUCAAAUUUGAAAUCUGGCACCUUCGGUGUCCGAGUUGUAAUUUGAAGAAGGUAACUUUGGAGUUGGCUCUUGUCUAUGUUCCUUGGAACAGGACGUCACAGAGGGUGAGAAUCCCGUGCGAUGAGAUGCCCAAUUCUAUGUAAAGUGCUUUCGAAGAGUCGAGUUGUUUGGGAAUGCAGCUCUAAGUGGGUGGUAAAUUCCAUCUAAAGCUAAAUAUUGGCGAGAGACCGAUAGCGAACAAGUACAGUGAUGGAAAGAUGAAAAGAACUUUGAAAAGAGAGUGAAAAAGUACGUGAAAUUGUUGAAAGGGAAGGGCUUGAGAUCAGACUUGGUAUUUUGCGAUCCUUUCCUUCUUGGUUGGGUUCCUCGCAGCUUACUGGGCCAGCAUCGGUUUGGAUGGUAGGAUAAUGACUAAGGAAUGUGGCUCUACUUCGGUGGAGUGUUAUAGCCUUGGUUGAUACUGCCUGUCUAGACCGAGGACUGCGUCUUUUGACUAGGAUGUUGGCAUAAUGAUCUUAAGCCACCCGUCUUGAAACACGGACCAAGGAGUCUAACGUCUAUGCGAGUGUUUGGGUGUAAAACCCGUACGCGUAAUGAAAGUGAACGUAGGUGAGAGCUCUUAAGAGUGCAUCAUCGACCGAUCCUGAUGUCUUCGGAUGGAUUUGAGUAAGAGCAUAGCUGUUGGGACCCGAAAGAUGGUGAACUAUGCCUGAAUAGGGUGAAGCCAGAGGAAACUCUGGUGGAGGCUCGUAGCGGUUCUGACGUGCAAAUCGAUCGUCGAAUUUGGGUAUAGGGGCGAAAGACUAAUCGAACCAUCUAGUAGCUGGUUCCUGCCGAGU